rnacentral:rRNA from 1 species
AUUGAACGCUGGCGGAAUGCUUUACACAUGCAAGUCGAACGGCAGCACGGGGGCAGCCCUGGUGGCGAGUGGCGAACGGGUGAGUAAUACAUCGGAACGUGCCCGGUCGUGGGGGAUAACGUAGCGAAAGUUACGCUAAUACCGCAUACGAUCUGAGGAUGAAAGCGGGGGACCUUCGGGCCUCGCGCGAUCGGAGCGGCCGAUGUCAGAUUAGGUAGUUGGUGGGGUAAAGGCCUACCAAGCCGACGAUCUGUAGCUGGUCUGAGAGGACGACCAGCCACACUGGGACUGAGACACGGCCCAGACUCCUACGGGAGGCAGCAGUGGGGAAUUUUGGACAAUGGGCGCAAGCCUGAUCCAGCCAUUCCGCGUGCAGGACGAAGGCCUUCGGGUUGUAAACUGCUUUUGUACGGAACGAAAAGGCUCUGGCUAAUACCUGGGGCUCAUGACGGUAUCGUAAGAAUAAGCACCGGCUAACUACGU